rnacentral:tRNA from 2 species
GCGGGCGUAGUUCACUGGUAGAAUGAAAGCUUCCCAAGCUUUAGAAGUGGGUUCGAUUCCCAUCGCCCGCU